CAUGCAGUCGAGCGAUGAAGUUUCUUCGGAAAUGGAUUAGCGGCGAACGGGUGAGGAACACGUGAAGAAUCUGCCCUCCACUUUGGGAUAACACCGGGAAACCGGUGCUAAUACUGAAUAUUGAAACAUAAGUGGCAUCACUGAGUUUUGAAAGAAUUUCGGUGGAGGAUGACUUCGCGGCCUAUCAGCUAGUUGGUGAGGUAAUGGCUCACCAAGGCAACGACGGGUAGCCGGCCUGAGAGGGCGACCGGCCACACUGGGACUGAGACACGGCCCAGACUCCUACGGGAGGCAGCAGUGGGGAAUAUUGGGCAAUGGAGGAAACUCUGACCCAGCGACGCCGCGUGCGGGAUGAAGGCCUUCGGGUUGUAAACCGCUUUCAGUAGGGAAGAAGCGAAAGUGACGGUACCUACAAAAGAAGCACCGGCUAACUAUGUGCCAGCAGCCGCGGUAAUACAUAGGGUGCAAGCGUUGUCCGGAAUUAUUGGGCGUAAAGAGCUCGUAGGUCGUUUGUUACGUCGGAUGUGAAAACCUGAGGCUCAACCUCAGGCCUGCAUUCGAUACGGGCAAACUAGAGUUUGGUAGGGGAGACUGGAAUUCCUGGUGUAGCGGUGGAAUGCGCAGAUAUCAGGAGGAACACCAAUGGCGAAGGCAGGUCUCUGGGCCAAUACUGACACUGAGGAGCGAAAGUCUGGGGAGC
rnacentral:rRNA from 1 species